CUUAUAUCUAUCCUACCCUGCCUUUCUAAGGUCCUCGAAAGCCAAGUUAACAAACAGAUCACCGACCAUUUCGAAUCCCACCGUACCUUCUCCGCUAUGCAAUCUGGUUUCUGAGCUGGUCAUGGGUGCACCUCAGCCACGCUCAAGGUCCUAAACAAUAUCAUAACCUCCACCGAUAAGUGACAAUACUGUGCAGCUGUAUUCAUAGACCUGGCCAAGGCUUUCGACUCUGUCAAUCACCACAUUCUUAUCGGCAGACUCAACAGCCUUGGUUUCUCAAAUGACUGCCUCGCUUGGUUCACCAACUACUUCUCAGACAGAGUUCAGUGUGCCAAAACGGAGGGCCUGUUGUCCGGACCUCUAGCAGACUGUAUGGGGGUGCCACAGGGUUCAAUUCUCAGGCCGACACUUUUCUCUGUAUACAUCAAUGAUGUCGCUCUUGCUGCUGGUGAUUCUCUGAUCCACCUCUACGCAGACGAGACCAUUCUGUAUACUUCUGGCCCUUCUUUGGACACUGUGUUAACUAACCUCCAGACGAGCUUCAAUGCCAUACAACUCUCCUUCCGUGGCCUCCAACUGCUCUUAAAUGCAAGUAAAACUAAAUGUAUGCUCUUCAACCGAUUGCUACCAGCACCUGCCAGCUCGUACAGCAUCACUACUCUGGACGGUUCUGACUUAGAAUAUGUGGACAUCUACAAAUACCUAGGUGUCUGGUUAGACUGUAAACUCUCCUUCCAGACUCACAUUAAGCAUCUCCAAUCCAAAAUUAAAUCUAGAAUUGGCUUACUAUUUUGCAACAAAGCAUCCUUCACUCAUGCUGCCAAACAUACCCUCGUAAAACUGACCAUCCUACCGAUCCUUGACUUCAGCGAUGUCAUUUACAAAAUAGCCUCCAACACUCUACUCAGCAAAUUGGAUGCAGUCUAUCACAGUGCCAUCCGUUUUGUCACCAAAGCCCCAUAUACAACCCACCACUGCGACCUGUAUACUCUCGUUGGCUGGCCCUCACUUCAUAUUUGUCGCCAAAUCCACUGGCUCCAGGUCAUCUAUACGUUUUUUCUAGGUAAAGCCCCACCUUAUCUCAGCUCACUGGUCACCAUAGCAGCACCCACCCAUAGCACGUGCUCCAGCA
rnacentral:lncRNA from 1 species